rnacentral:rRNA from 1 species
AGAGUUUGAUCAUGGCUCAGGAUGAACGCUAGCUACAGGCUUAACACAUGCAAGUCGAGGGGCAGCAUUUUAGUUUGCUUGCAAACUAAAGAUGGCGACCGGCGCACGGGUGAGUAACACGUAUCCAACCUGCCGAUAACUCGGGGAUAGCCUUUCGAAAGAAAGAUUAAUAUCCGAUAGUAUAUUAAAACCGCAUGGUUUUACUAUUAAAGAAUUUCGGUUAUCGAUGGGGAUGCGUUCCAUUAGUUGUUGGCGGGUAACGGCCACCAAGACUACGAUGGAUAGGGGUUCUGAGNGGAAGGUCCCCUACGAUUGGAACUGAGACACGGUCCAAACUCCUACGGGAGCA